rnacentral:ncRNA from 1 species
UACAAAAAUAGCGCCAGAACACAAUAUAUGUGUUGACGAGGACUAGGGUUAUCGAUUUUUCGGCGGGUGCUCUAGUGGUCUUUGCUUAAGGUCAUAGUAUUAAAUCAAAAAACAGUAGUAAUACUGUAACAAAUUUUAAUACAU